CUUUUACCUACAUCCAGAAAUGGUCCAACUCAACUCUGAUGGUUACCUCUCAAAAAUACUUCUUCAGCAUAGAGUAAAAAUCAAAGUCAUUAUCUGAAAUGUCCUUUUAUGCAUCAAUAAAGUCACCUUCUAAAGUUCAGAAACCUUCCAACAUUAUGCCUGGAGGAUAUGAUUUUGAACCAAAUUGGGGACGUAACAAUCAGGAGGAGGUAAAUAGAAGGGGAAAGUCUGUAUCUUAUGUUGACUUUCAUUUAAUCACUGUUUACAGCACAAAACUGUCACACUUAAUAACCCCUGAUUUCCUGGAUCUCCAAAUAAUAAACCUCAUGUUUCUGCCAGUUUGUAGGUAUAGUCAAUUGAUACUAAGUUGGAAAGGGGAUCUGAAGCCUAAUAACUUUUCAUAUAACUUUAAUAAAUCUUCCUGUUUUCUGCUUCAUUUACAAAC
rnacentral:lncRNA from 1 species